rnacentral:rRNA from 1 species
GGACUACUGGGGUAUCUAAUCCCGUUUGCUCCCCUGGCUUUCGCGCCUCAGCGUCAGGUGAGGUCCAGCACGCCGCUUUCGCCACCGGCGUUCCUUCCGAUAUCUACGCAUUUCACCGCUCCACCGGAAGUUCCGCAUGCCCCUACCUCCCUCGAGCUGCUCAGUAUCGGGGGCACUUGUCCGGUUAGGCCGAACGCUUUCACCCCCGACUUAGGCAGCCGCCUACGCGCCCUUUAAGCCCAGUGAAUCCGAACAACGUUCGCACGGUUCGUCUUACCGCGGCUGCUGGCAC